GUUUUAGUGCAUCGUUUUGAUUGAUUUUUGAACCAGUGGGUUCACCUGAUGUUCUUAACAACUCUCCAGAAGGAAUCGAGGCCUGAAAUUGAAGUUUGUACGUCGAAAUCGUGGCUCGCCGGUUUCUGCAAUUCUUCACCGGUUUCUGGAAAAUUUCCGGCCACAUUCAUACUGUUCUAGGUGAUUGACGGUCUUCCUUGGUGAGCGGUUUUGGUGUGUAUUGUGAAAGUGAAGACGCAGCGGGAUUAGAGCGGGUAAUCCUACAGGUCAGGAGAAUCGAGAAGGUGAUCAGGCUGCUUAGAGUAGUGGGAUUGGAGUUACAGCUUUAUUGUGAGGUUGUUAUGCUCAUUGAGCUUACAUUUAAAUUUGGUGAGAGUUGAGUGAGGCUAGAUGUGUUUAUAUCUGAGAAAAAAAUUCAGAACGUUUAUUUGAUUAAGUUGUUUAUUUCAUGUUUCGGAUUUGAAUUUAUUAUUCAAAAUUCGGGGCGUGACACUGU
rnacentral:lncRNA from 1 species